UCUAGAAGCUUCCACAAUGGACGAAAGUCUGAUGGAGCGACGCCGCGUGUGGGAUGACAGCCGUGAGGUUGUAAACCACUGUCAGCAGGGAAGAAUGCCUUGAUGGUGAAUCAGGGAGAGACGGUACCUGCAGAGGAAGCCCCGGCUAACUCCGUGCCAGCAGCCGCGGUAAUACGGAGGGGGCAAACGUUGUUCGGAUUUACUGGGCGUAAAGGGUGUCUAGGCGGUUCGGUUAGUCUGGUGUGAAAUAUCCUCGCUCAACGAGGAAGACGCAUUGGAAACUGCCGAGCUCGAGAGUGGAAGAGGCAGGUGGAAUUCCUGGUGUAGCGGUGGAAUGCGUAGAUAUCAGGAAGAACACUCGUGGCGAAGGCGGCCUGCUGGUCCAUUUCUGACGCUGAAGCACGAAAGCUAGGGGAGCGAACG
rnacentral:rRNA from 1 species